rnacentral:rRNA from 1 species
GACGCACGCUGGCGGCGUGCCUAAUACAUGCAAGUCGAACGCAGUGGGGACGGGUGAGUAACACGUGGGUAACCUCCCAUCAGAGGGGAUAACACUUGGAAACAGGUGCUAAACCGAUACUGAUGGAUGGACCCGCGGUGCAUUAGCUAGUUGGUGAGGUAACGGCUCACCAAAGCCACGAUGCAUCGCAGACCUGAGAGUGUGAUCGGCCACACGGAGACUGGGACACGGCCCAGACUCCUACGGGAGGCAGCAGUAGAGAAUCGUCGGAAAUAGACGAAAGUCUGACCGAGCAACGCCGCGUGAGUGAAGAAGGUAUUCGGAUCGUAAAACUCUGUUGUUAGAGAAGAGGUAUCUAACCAGAAAGCCACGGCUAACUACGUGCCAGCAGCGGCGGUAAUAC